UACGUAGGGCGCAAGCGUUAUCCGGAAUUACUGGGCGUAAAGAGCUCGUAGGCGGUUUGUCGCGUCUGCCGUGAAAGUCCGGGGCUCAACUCCGGAUCUGCGGUGGGUACGGGCAGACUAGAGUGAUGUAGGGGAGACUGGAAUUCCUGGUGUAGCGGUGAAAUGCGCAGAUAUCAGGAGGAACACCGAUGGCGAAGGCAGGUCUCUGGGCAUUAACUGACGCUGAGGAGCGAAAGCAUGGGGAGCGAACAGG
rnacentral:rRNA from 1 species